rnacentral:lncRNA from 1 species
CUUACGGUACUUGUUGACUAUCGGUCUCGUGCCGGUAUUUAGCCUUAAAUGGAGUUUACCACCCGCUUUGGGCUGCAUUCCCAAGCAACCCGACUCCUGGAAGACCCGGGCCAAUUUGCAUCUUUUUAUAUUGUAUAUACCUUAAUAAAGUAUUGUAGCUAUUAUUAUUCUUUUUUUUUUUUUUUUGGCUCACUGCAACCUCUGCAUCCUGGGUUCAAGUGAUUCUCCUGCCUCAGCCUCCUGAGUAGCUGGGAUUACAGGUGCCCUCCACCAUGCCUGGCUAAUUUUUGUAUUUUUAGUAGAGACAGGGUUUCACCAUGUUGGCCAGGCUGGUCUUGAACUCCUGACCUCAAGUGAUCUACCUGCCUUGGCAUCCCAAAGUUCUGGGAUUAUAGGUGUGAGCCACCACGCCUGGCCUAUUAUUCUUAAUAGAUUGUCUUUUAACCUUCAUACUAAAGUUAUAAGUGAUUUACAUAUCACCAUUGCAGUUAGAGUAUUCUGGAUUUGAUUGUCUGCUUUCUUUUACCAUUGAGUUUUAUGCUUUUAGUUGUUUUUGCGUUACUUAUUAAUUAGCAUCCUUUUCUUUUAGGUUGAAUACUCCCUCUAGCAUCUCUUGUAAGAUAGGGCUGUUGGUGAUAAACUCCCUUAGCUUUUGUUUGUCUGUGAAAGUCUUUAUUUCUCUUUCAUUUCUGAAAAACAGCUUUGCUAGAUACAGUAUUCUUAGUUGGCACAUUUUUUAAAAAAAAUUUUUUACACUUCAGCACUUUGAAUACAUCAUCUCACUCUCUCUUGGCCUGUAACGUCCCUGCUGAGAAAUUUGUUGCUAGCCUUAUUGGAACUUAUUCAUAUAUGGUUUGCUUAUUUUCUCUCACUAAUAAGGAUCCUCGUGCUAAUUUUCUCUUGCUAAUAGGAUCCUCUCUUUGUCCUUGAUUUUUGACAUAUUGUCAUUUUGUAGUCUUGUUUGGGUUGAAUCUGACUGGAGGCCUGUAUCUGUUCCUCUACUUGGAUAUUUAUAUCUUUCUCCAAAUUUGAAAAGUUUUCUGCUACGCUUUGUCUUUCUCUUUCUUUUCUCCUUUAUGAAAUCUUAUAUAUCAGAGAGAUAUAUGUAUAUUUUCCUAUAUAUCAGAUAUCUUAUAUAGCAGAUAUAUAUCAAAUAUUUCCUGGGUCCACAAAGGCUAUCAUGGAACCUGGGUCAGAAGGGGUGGUCUUGGAGCCUUAGUCUGUAAGGUCUAGACUGGGACUGGGGGUGGACCAUGGGUCUGCUGGAACAGGUCUGGACUCUGGGUUUUCUAGAGUCUGGGCCACUGGGACCAGCCUGGAGCCUGGGGUUAGCCUGAUGCUGGGGUCCAUGUGGAGCCUGGGUCUGUGGGCACUGGUUUGGAGCUUAGGAUCACAAGUACUUGCCUGAUACCUGGGACCAUUAGGCUGGCCUGGAGCCUGGGAUCUUUGGGUCUGGAGCCUGUGCCUGCUGGUAUUGCCUUAGAGGCACAGGUCUAGGACCUGGCCUAGGGAUUGGAUCCAUAAAGCCUAGCCUGGGUCUUGGGACAAGGAACCAGAUUGAGUAGUAGGUACACAGAGGUGGUCCUAGAGCCUGGGUUCGUGGGGACUGGUUCUUCUGGGGUCUCCUGGACUCUGGGUUACUGUAGCAUCAUUGGACCAUAGGAUCUGGCCUUGAGCAUGGGACCAUGGGGACUGGCCUUGCACUGGGAAGGCCUGGAGCUUAGGUCUUGGUGCCUGCCUGCUGUUUAAGGCCAGGGGAGCCAAGCUGGCAUUGGGGUGGGAUAGAAGCCUGGGGCCAUAGGAGCUAGCUUGGACUGGGUGGAGCCUGGAUCCUAUAUUCACAGAGGUCUUCCUGGAGGCAAGGUCCAUGGGUUCUGGCCUGGUCAUUAAGGCUGCAGGAGUUGGCCUGAUGGUCAAGUGGGCCUGAAGCUUGGGACUUUGGCAUCCAGCUUGGUGCUAGGGGUGGUCUGCAGCCUGGGGCCACAGGGGCUGGCCUGGCCUUGGGGUUGGUCUGGAGCCUGAUUCUGCAGGUCAUGUCUUCUGCUGGGUCUGAUCUGGAGCUUGGGGCCUCUGGGCUUAGCCUUGUGCUGUGGCAGGCUUGGAGCUCAAAUUUGCUCUGUAGACCUGGACCCUGGGGCUGCAGGAUCCUAUAUAGUGUUGGGGCAGGUUUGGAAGCUCAGUCUGCGGGUAGCAGCCAGGAGUCUGGGGCUGCAGGGGGCUGGUCUGGCACUGGACAAGCCUGGAGUCUCCAUCCACAGUGGCUGGCCUGGGGGCUGGGUCCAUAGGUUCUGGCCCAAUGACUAGGACUAUGUGGGUUUGGCCUGGUACUGGGGCAGGCCUGAAGCCUGUGGCUGUGAGGGCUAGCCUGAUGCUGGGGGCAGUCUACAGACUGGGGCCACUGGGGUCAGCCUGGUCAUGGGGCAGCCUGGAUACUUAAUUUGCUAUACAGACCUGGAGUUUGGGGCUGUUGGGGGUCUUCCUGGUGCUAGGCUUUAUUGGGGGUGGGCCUAGCUUUGGAAUCUGAGGCAAAGUCUUGUACUCACUGCCCUCUCCUUCUCUCAAGUGGAAGGUAUCUCUCCCUGUGCUGCCUGGAGUUGGGUGAAAUGGGUAAUGUAAAGCUGUUCUUUCUACCCUCUUCCAUGCAUGUUUUCUUAUUUUGGUGCUGUACCCAGGUGCUGUAAUCUCUUGGUUUCCUUACCUAUUGUGAAAGUAUUUUUGUGCAUGGACAAUUGUUCAAAUUGAUGUUUCUGUGGGAGAGACAAGCAUUAGAGAGCCCUAUUCUGCCAUCUUGCUGAUACUCAAUAACACUUUUAUCUUAAUUUCUACUGUACUGAUCAAAUACCAUUCUACCCGUACAGGUGCCAUUUGAGCACGUUAUGUGUAGAUACCGAACAUAAACACAAACCUUUCCAGAAGGAAACUGAAUGGGGAAUUUACAAAUGAGAAAACUGAAGUUUAUAUGAUUUUACAUAUGAAGAAAGUGAGGGAAUUUACAAAUGAGAAAACUGAAGUUUAUAUGAUUUUACAUAUGAAGAAAGUGAGGCUGAGAUAAGUUGAAUAAGUGACUUGCUAAACCCACCCAGCCAGCGAGGCAAAACCAGGAUUUCAUUACAGAUUGGAGUAAAUGUAGUCUCUUUGUGCUACACCAUCCUGUUUUGCCUAUUUUGAAAGAGUUUUACUUAAAUGUGCAUGUGGUAUUUUUUUUGCAUGUGUGCAGGAUAGUUUAAACACUAUUGAAACAUGACAUUUAGUUUUUUUUCCUGUGUGCAGCUGAAAAAGACAGAACCUUAAAGGCUCCAGAAUAGAUUCUUUUUAUUUAAUUGUCACUGAAUUUACAGUUCACUUGUUUUUUAAUUGACUUGUGUGUGCUUUUGGUAAGAGUACUUAUUUCUUGGAGCCUAAUUAAGAAUUUAUAUUAUUGAAUGUUCUGGUGGAAAAAUAGUUAACAUUUGGGAAUUUAUUUAUUGGUUUAAAAAUAGUUAAGUGUGCAUAUGCUCUCAUUACACAUGUAUAUCCAUAAACAAUAUAUGUUUUAUUUUGCAUAUUUUAAGUUGCAUAUAAAUGUUAUGAUGUUGCAUUUUUUUGCAGCUCGCCUUUUUUUGUUCAAUAUCACAUCUAUGAGAUUCAUCCUUAUGGAUACUUGUAGCUCCUGUUCACUUUUUUUUUCUUGCUUCAUGGUAUAUCAUUAUAAAGACAUUCCAGAAUGUACUUGUGUUUUCUCCUGUUGAUGGACAAUUAGGAUAUUUCCAUAUUUUGUUUAUCAUAAUGUAGCUAGAAUAUUUUGUAACUGUUUUUGAGUCACAUUUGCCAGUGUUUCUCUAGACUAAAUACAUAGUUGUGGAAUUACUGGAUUACAAUGUCUAUCUUCAGGUUUACUGCAUGUUCUCUAAAGUGAUUGUGCCGAUUUAUACUUCCAUCAGCAAAGUAUGAGAUUUCUUUUUCUCCCCAUUCCUUGCCAAUACUUGGUGUUACCAGACUGAAAAAUUAUUUGCCAAUUUUUUAAGUCUUAUGGGCUGUAUUGUGUCCCCUCCCCCACAAAAUUCAUGUGUUGAAGUCCUACCCCUAGUACCUCAGAACGUAAUGGUAUUUUGGAGAUAGGGUCUUUAAAAGAGGUAAUUAAAUUAAAAUGAGGUCUUUAGGGUGGGCCACAAUCCAGUAUGAUUGGUAUUCUUAUAAGAAGGAGAAAUUUGAACAAAGAUUUGAACAGAAGACAAUGUGAAGACAUUGGGAGAAGACAGCCAUCUACAAGCCAAGGAGAGAGGCUUGGCACAGAUCCUUUCCUCACAACUCUCAGGAGAAACCAACACUACUGAUACCUUGAUCUCAGAUUUCUAAGCUCCAGAACUGUGAGAAUAGACAUUACUGUUGUUUAAGCUACCCAGGUACUUAAUUACUGUAGUUCUCGCAAACCAAUUCAAUGAAUAUGAAAAGCGAUCUCAUUUUGGUUUUAAUUUGCAUUUUCCUGAUAAGUAGAGAGGUUGAGCAUCAUUUCAAAAGUUCAUAAUGAAUCCGUUUUCUAUUUUUUAUACUGAUUCAUAAGUGUUUAUAUUAUUUUAAAGUAAUGUUUUUAUGGAUACUGUUAUAGACUUAAUGUUUAUGUCUUCCCAAAAUUCACAUGUUGAAACUUAAUCUCCAAUAUGACGGUAUUUGGAGGCCUUUUGGAGGUGAUAGGGUGGAACCCUCAUGAAUGAGAUUUGUGCCUUUAGGAAAGAGGUCCUAGAGAGCUCCAUUGCCCUUUUUGCCAUUUGAGGACAUAGGGAAAAGACAGCUGUCUUCUAAGAAGUAAGCGGGCCCUCAUGAGACAGUGAAUCUGCCUUUGCCAUGAUAUUGGACUUCUCAGUCUCCAGAACUGUGAGAAGUAAAUGUUUAUUGUUCAUAAGUCAGAGUCUUUGAUAUUUUGGUAUAGUAGCCCAAAUGGACUAAGACAAAUGUACUAGUUAAAUAUUAUUGAUGCUGACUCCUUUGUUGAAUGUAUAAAUUCCAGUCUUUUAUGAUUGUUUUCUUUUAAAUGAUGGUUUUUGAUGCAGAAAAUUAAAAAUCUCAUGUAGUCAGCUUAAGAAAUCUUUUUCUUCAUUGUUUAUGCUUUCUAUAUCUUGUUUACAAAGUUUUUCUGCUCAAAGACCAUAAGGGUAACAUUUUUAUGUUUUCUUCUAAGAAUCUUAAAAUUUUGCUUUCAAAAUUUAGGUCUUAAACCUAUUUGGCAUUUGUUUUUAUGCAUUAAGGAUUCACAAUUUUUGUUGACUUAUUUAAUUGCUUAAACAACCAAGCACCAAUUAUUUGUUACAUAUACUGUGUUCAGAGCAAUAUAUAGAAUGCUACAGGAGAUAAUUCCUUCCCUAAAAGAGAGAGGUAGAACCACCAUCAUAACAGGACUGUGCCCUACUUACAUAUUAUUAUGAAAUCCUAACAACAAUGGGAGGCAGUUGUUAAUUAUCUGUAUUUUACAAAUAAGCAAACUCAGCCUCAGAGUAGUGAAAUAAAUUGUUCAAGGUCACAUAAUUAGCAAGUAGUAGAAUUGAGAUUUGAGCUUUGGUCUUUCUGACAAAUUUCACAUUGUAGAUAAAGCAAAGAUAAUUGAGAAAUUUAGUAAUCAAGAAUGAUAACAUAGUAGGUUCAGAAAUUUUUUUUAUGAAUAAAUAUACUGUGUGUUGGCACAAGACAGUCCUAUAAAGAUUGUCAUCUGAGGGCUUGGAGCAGAGAAAGGGAAGAGGCCACUUAAUUCUAUUAGAAUAAUUACACUCUAUUGAAAAUAUUUGGGUCCAGGUGCAGUGGCUCAUGCUUGUCAUCUCACCAUUUUAAAAGGUUGAGGUGGGAGGACAGCUUGAGGCCAGGAAUUCAAGACCAGCCUGGGCAACAUAGUGAGACCCUCUCUCUACAAAAUAAAUAAAUAAAUAAAUAAAAUAAGUUAGUAGGGCAUGGUGACAAAGCCUUUAGUCUUAGUUCCUUGGGAAGCUGAGGCAUUAGGAUUGCUUGAGCCCAGGAGUUUGAGGCUGCAGUGAGCUAUGAUCCCAUCACUGCACUCCAGCCUAGGUGACAGAACGAAAGCUGUCUCUUAAAAAAAAAAAAGUGCUAUUGUUCCACUCAGCCCUCCCAAUACCCAACUUCUCCAAGCCAGAGAAACUGUUAGUUUAAAUAUUUCUACCUGUCUUAAUGUGUGCUAAGAACCUUGUGGACAGCAAAUGAAUAAGAAAUAUUUUUGAAAGAACAAAAGAAACGCUAUGAAUACAUUAUUAAAUUAGUGCUAGAGGUAGAUUCAAAAAUACUUUCUAUUGUCCUUAUGAUGUAAUCCUGUCAAGGCUCAUGAGAUAGUUUGAAAUAUCUUCCAUGUUACUCUUUUUUGGCACUCUGAUAGUGUUAAAUGACAGAAAUAGAAUAAUUUGGAGCUUUUCUCAUAGCAUAGAGGUUAUUUGUGAAAAUGGUAUGUUUUAGGUAGAGGCUAUCAGCCCUGAUUAUACAUACCCCUACCUAAAGAACAUACAGCAAUUUAACACAAGUAACUCAGAAACACUAGCCAGAAAAAAGAAAUGGUGGCAAAGAUUAGAUUAGUAAAUGUAGAAUAACUGUUACCACUAUUUAUUCUCUAAUGUCUGUAAUCUUCCGUAGUAGUAGAAUACAUGGUUAUUACCUAUGGUCAAGUUCAUUGACCAUUUCUUUUCUGGUUUUUGUUUUUUGUGUCUCAUUUAAGAAAUCCUUCUCUACCUUCAAGUCACAAACAUGUUCUACUAUAGUAAGUUUUGCUUUUCAUACCAAGGUCUUAAGUUCAUAUUGAAUUAAUUUUGUAUACAUACGAGGUGUUGGUGUGAUUUUAUAUUUUAUCAUAAAAAUAGCCAGCUAUCUAGAAACAUGCAUGCAUUUUUUCUUGUUUGUGUCUUUAAAUAGGAUGUUCAACAUUUUAUUAUGAAGUACAGUUGUGUGCUCCAUAAUGACGUUUUGGUGAACAGCCGACUACAUGUAUGAUUAUGGUCCCAUAUGAUUAUAAUGGAGCUGAAAACUUCCUAUCAACUAGUGCAUUUGUAGCCUUCCUAAAGUUGUAGAGCAGUGCAUUACUCUUGUCAUUGUAUUGAUGCUGGUGUAAACAACCUAUUGCACUGCCAGUCAUUUAAAAGUAUAGCACAUAAAAUUAUGUACAGUACAUAAUACUUGAUAAAUAAUACAUGUCACUGGUUUAGGUAUUUACCAUACUUUUUAUUAUUAUUUUAGAGUGUACUCUUUCCACUUAUUAAAAAAAAAGUUAACUGAACAACAGCCUCAGACAGGUCCUUCAGGAGGUAUUCUAGAAGAAGGCAUUGUUAAUCAUAGUAGAUAACAGAUCCAUGUAUGUUAUUGUCCCUGAAGAGCUUUAAUUGGGACAAGAUGUGCAGGUGGCAGACUAUGAUACUGAUAUUCCUGACCUCAUGUAGGCCUAUGUUAGUGUGUGUUCCUGUGUUUCAGUUUUUAACAAAAAAGUUUAAAAUGUAAAAAAUUAAAAAUAGAAAAAAUCUCAUAAAAUAAGGAUAUAAAGAAAGAAAAGAUUUUUGUAUUGCUCUAUAAUGUGUGUUUGUGUUUUAAGCUAAAAUGUAACAACAAAAGAGGCAAAAAGUAAAAAAAUUAAAAGAUGUGUAAAGUAGAAAAGUUACAGUAAGCUAAGUUUAAUUUAUUAUUGUAAAAUAAAAUAAAUUUAAUGUAGCGUAAGUGUACAGUGUUUAUAAAGUCUACAGUAGUGUAGAGUAAUGUCUUAGGCCUUCACAUUUACUCACCACUCCUUUACUGACUCACCCAGAGCAACUUCCAGACUUGACUUGUAAGCCCCAUUCAUGGUAAGUGCCUAUACAGAAGUAUCGUUUAAAAAUCUUUCAUAUAUUUACUGUACCUUUUCCUUUUCUAUGUUUAGAUACACAAAUACCAUUGUGUUACAGUUGCUUACAGUAUUCAGUACAGCAACAUGCUGUACAGGUUUGUAGCCUAGGAGCGAUAGGCUAUACCAUGUAGCCUAAGUGUGUAGUAGGGUGUACCAUCUAGGUUUGUGUAAGUACACUCUAUUGUGUUAACAAAAUGGCAAAAUUGCCCAACGAUAUGUUUCUCAGAACAUAUCCCUGUCAUUAAACAAUGCAUAACUAUAGAUUGUUUGUUAGUAGAUACUUUCUUAGAUCUUUGGAUAUUACGUCUAUUCGUAGUUUGCUAAGAUUUCCCCCUAAAAAUAGCAACUGGGACUUGAGAAAGAACAUAUGUUGUAGUUAAGAGCAUGGAUGUUGAAAUCAGUCUGAUUUCAAAUCCUGGACUUGCCACUAGUAAGCUGGAUGACAUUGAGCUUCUCUCUGCCACAGCUUUGUUAUUUGUUAUUGCCUAUUUUGUUAGUCAAUGACAAUGCCUAAUAAGAAAAUAAAAUGAAAAUAAAAAUACAUCAGACGUUGUUGUAAAGAAUAAAUAAAUUUAUAGAUGCAGAACUUUGAACUAUGGAACACAGCCAGCAGUCUUUAUUAUUAUCUAAUAGUAUUCUCUUUUGAGAUAAUUUUGUUAGUUUCUCUUUACUCUGUUGAUUGGAAAAAUUACAGCAAUAGAGUUUAUAUUAGCAAAGCAUCCUUGCUUUCAUAGUUUUAUGUGGUAUAAUUAAAAAUUACAUUGCUAGAAAAUAUUAUUUUAUAGAGUUUUGACACAUAAAUAAAAUUGGCAUAUAAUGUUUAUUUUUUGUACUCUGGUUGAUUUUGGUUUCAAGGUUAUAUUAGGAUAAUACAUGGGUUAGAAUUUAAUUUUUUUU